CACGUAGUCAACCUUCCCGAUAGUGGGGGGAUAACUAGCCGAAAGGUUAGCUAAUACCGCAUACGAUCUUCGAGUGGCAUCACUUGAAGAUGAAAGGAGCAAUCCGCUUUCGGACGGGACUGCGUCCCAUUAGCUAGAUGGUGGGGUAAUGGCCUACCAUGGCUUCGAUGGGUAGCUGGUUUGAGAGAGCGACCAGCCACACUGGGACUGAGAAACGGCCCAG
rnacentral:rRNA from 1 species